UACACACUUCCUUAGAUCCACUUCUAGAAUGCCGUUGACAUAUAGCAGCUGUCACAUGCGUGUGUCUGUCUGUCCAUGUGUCUCAAAGGCAUUCAACAGCUUUACCGCUGCAUAUUGGAAGUGCAUGAGUCAUGGGUGUGUGAGAUCAGUACACCUCUUGUUGAGCUCCUCAGGUCUUUGGCAUGCUGUCCGCUAAAGUUGUGCUCAGGUGCUUCUUUUGAGGAUGUGCUGUUUGUUGCUCUAGACUGGGCUUACCAAGGGACAAA
rnacentral:snoRNA from 1 species